GGGGUUGUGGCUCAGUGGUAGAGCACUUGCCUGGCAUGUGUGAGGCACUGUGUUCAAUUCUCAGCACCA
rnacentral:tRNA from 1 species